CCCAAUGGAGACACAGCUCUUCACAAGGCAGCUUACACUGGCAGACUGGAUGUUGUGCGGGUGCUUCUGGACUCUGGUGCUGAUGUUACACUGAUAAACUCAGAAGGACAAACUCCCAGACUUUUUGCCAAAACAAGAGAAAUCAGUGAACUUAUUCUGGCUGCAGAGGACCAUGACAACAAAAAGAGAGAACAGAUCUUCCUGUCCUCAGUCAGAGAAGGAAAACUGGACCUAAUUCAGGAUAUGGUAAAA